CGACAGAGCUGCUACAGGAAGCACCUCGCGCUCUCGCGAGCUCUGUAUUGGUCCGCUGUACUGUAAGAUGGCGGAGGGGAAUUGGGGCGCAAAUGUAGGCUCGAAGACUGAGAAGAGUCAGCUGUGACAGAGGGAACUGGGCUCAGGAUGCCAUUGUGUAAAAUGUUUCUUGUGAAAUGCCUUUUUAUGGAAAACUAUCCAGUUUUAAUUUUGCAACAUUUGCAUUAGUCAAUGCUCAUUCUGGUGUCCAUAACUGUUAAUGGCCAGUGACUUUACUGCUGUAGGAUUUUGGGUUUGUGCUACCUGGGUAUUACCAUUGUCUUAGUACAGAGGCCUUCUGUUUUUAGUCUGUGUUCAUAUCAACUGUGCUAAGCUAAUAUAGAACAAGCGUCAGAGUAAAAUGGAAGUCACAUGCAUAAUGAUGCAGCAGGGAGUGAAAUGGCUGUAAAAGAACACUGCUCCGUAAAAGCAUAAUAAAGAAAAGUGUGCCAACGAAUCCAGAACGGAAAACAAGUGCAAAUUUCCGCAACACUUGCUCAAGUCUUUUCUGCAUGUCUUACAGCUGAACAGCCGUGUAGUUAAAUGUUAGUAUAGUACAUGAAACUGCCAUGAAUGUCGAUCGUCUGGUGAGUGACACAUCUUUCCCUGCUCACCUCUGUCUUGUCCGUGGAGGGAUUUAGAUUUUCGCAAUCUCAGGGGAAACCUCCUUAGCAUGCGCUCAGCGUCUGCGCAAGACAUGUCCGUUCACGUGGGAUUGGUGUUUCCAACCCGUGUCUGCUCAUCGAAUCACUGCUGAUUUCCUGCUCAUCGAAUCACUGCUGAUUUCCUGCUCAUCGAAUCACUGCUGAUUUCCUGUUGCAGCAGAUAUGACCUCAUGUCCUCUGGCGACAUUAUCUUUGCCUAAUAGCUCUCAGACCUAUGACCCAUUCCGUGCUUGUUUUCAUUCUGUCCAUAAACAUAGCGCCUGGUCUUCAUUCUGUCCAUGAACAGUGCCUAGUUUUCAUUCUGUCCAUAAAUGUAGAUUCUGGUUUUCAUUCUGUUCAUAAAAAUAGUGUCUGGUUUUCAUUCUGUCCAUAAA